rnacentral:rRNA from 1 species
CUGCCGGCAGGCCUAACACAUGCAAGUCGAGCGCGCCCCUCGGGGUGAGCGGCGGACGGGUUAGUAACGCGUGGGAAUAUACCCGACACUAAGAGAAUAGCCUCUGGAAACGGAGAGUAAUACCUUAUACGCCCUUCGGGAGAGAAAGAUUUAUCGGUGACGGAUUAGCCCGCGUUAGAUUAGAUAGUUGGUGGGGUAAUGGCCUACCAAGUCUACGAUCUAUAGCUGGUUUUAGAGGAUGAUCAGCAACACUGGGACUGAGACACGGCCCAGACUCCUACGGGAGGCAGCAGUGGGGAAUCUUGGACAAUGGGCGCAAGCCUGAUCCAGCCAUGCCGCGUGAGUGAUGAAGGCCUUAGGGUCGUAAAGCUCUUUCGCCAGAGAUGAUAAUGACAGUAUCUGGUAAAGAAACCCCGGCUAACUCCGUGCCAGCAGCCGCGGUAAUACGGAGGGGGUUAGCGUUGUUCGGAAUUACUGGGCGUAAAGCGUACGUAGGCGGAUUAG